CCCCCGCCGCCAAUAUACGAGUUUCUGUUGCUAGUGAUAGGGAUCAUGGUAUAGGUACAUUAGUGACAAUCGUCAGCCCGUAAUGGAAGCGUUUCUUUUGAAACUUAAGAGUUUCUUGGUCUAAUGGAUAAUAAGUGGAGAACACUCAGCGAGAGCUACUGAUAACAGACAUGUCGAUAUGGUAUAUACUACGAGAGCAGCUCCCUUCCUUCCGAUCAACCUCGUAACGCACCACCAAACCCUCAAGGAAAUAAGCGACGAUCACAGUGACAUUCUGGAAUUCGACCCUGCUUCAGUUUUCCUUGAUGCCCGUGAUCUGUUAUCUUUCAAGAGAAAGAAUGAACCAUAUCUCAUGAUCACGCUGAUGAUGAUGAUGUGAACGAGAAGGAGGACCCUGAGUGAGAGCGAGUAUGCGAACGCUGACGAUUAAGACGGAAGUGAUCUUCUGGGAGAAUGUCGUCUACAGCCG